rnacentral:lncRNA from 1 species
AGUGAUAAUGAGUUCAUUAGUUUAAUAAUCACUGGAGGCCCAAAGGCCUGGUGCUUAUUGACUAAUGAAAUUAUCAUUCAUAAUAUGAUAAUUUGGUUGAGUCUUUCUGAUGGUGGUCAGGUUGGCCGGUCAAAGUCGGACCUGAUCAUUUAUUAGUCAGAUUCACCAAAUCAAGUCAUGUUAAUGGUUGGACCUAACCAGAUCUUUUCAGUGGAGGCCAAAGCCUACUGAUUAAGUUCUGGGGCAAAAUUAAUUACUAGAAGUUGUUUAGAGAAACAACUGGUUAUGAACCUACCCAUAGAUGCACAUGGGUUGACCA